CCAAUGUCGCGGUAGAUGACAUUAAUUUGCUAAUUUUAAAUCGGAAAAUCAUUGGUGAGCCAAGGUACUACCACUCGGUCGACGAGUAUGCCGGCAAUGCGGCGACCGAGGAUGAUGAAUUUCACGUCCCUUUGGACGUCGUUCAUCGGAUCUCGGCGUCCAACCUUCCGCCACAUGAGCUCGUGCUCAAGACGGGAGCGGUUGUCGUCCUCCUUAAAAACCUAGACGUCCGGCAUGGACAGUGCAACGGCACCAGAAUGAUGAUUGUGCGUCUCGGCCAGGAAGUUUUGGAAGUCAAGGUUUUAUCGGGUCCCCGCAAAGGGGAGACCAUCAACUUGCCCAAAAUUGAAAUUACAUCGAGCGUUCCGGAACUUCCUCGCCCGAUCAAGAGAGUGCAGUUUCCCAUACGGCUGGCAUUCGCCAUGACGAUUAACAAAAGUCAAGGACAGACGUACGCAAGAGUAGGAAUCCAUUUGCCAAGCCCGUGUUUCGCGCACGGACAGCUUUAUGUGGCCUUCUCUAGGACUCUAGGGUGGGCUCGCCUGAAGAUGUGCGUGUCGUGAUCGAAAACACGGCAAGUCAAGGCGCUUUCAGACGCAGAGACGGAGUUAAAUUGACGCAUAACGUCGUUUACUCCAACAUUUUUAACAACCCCGAACCACUUCGACAACGGUUACCCUGGAAUCCUACUCGUGCGAUUAUUGGGGGUCAGGGUGAAGUCGUGCUUCCGGCACGCACGUCACCCUCUCCACCAACGUCUAACGAACCGACCAGUACUUCGUUCGAACAAGACGACGAUUUUUUCGAUUCACUAGAUUUGACCGAUAUUAUUAUGGACGUACUGAGACACGGACCCACACCCAGGAUUCUUCCGAUCCCCAGGCUGUACGAUAAUGUCGUGAUCAAUCCAUAUAACGAUCGACAAUUGUUUGAACGAGUCUCGCGCGAUAAUCGUCCCGGAACAUCGGGGACAACCACGACAUUAUUUCCAUUUCAAAAGUGAAAUUAAAACUCUUUUUUUCAAAUUUAAUAUAUUUUUUUUCAAAGUACACAUUUACACCUUCGUUAAUGCUGCCGUUAUAACAACGACAUUUACUUAUCAUCAAUAUUGUAUAUCUUCAACAAAUAGUUUUUUUUUAUUAUUACAACCUUCUUAUUGUUAUUUCACUCUAUGAAUUUCACUUUUUUAUUCAAUAUUUAAUUACCUUUUUCACAGUUUUCUUUUAAAUUAGUCGUUGAUUAUAUUUGUUUACAAUAACAUGUUCAUAUUUCUCUCGUAAAGCAAUUUAUAUAAAUUAAUUUUUUUUAAAUUUUGCAUUAUAUAACUUCAUUAAAUUUUCUCAAUUCAACAAAUAUUCUAUUAUAUAAAUUUUUAAAUUAAUUGCCCCUUAGUUUGUAAGUUCAUUGCUGAAUUUCUUUUUUAUUGCAACAUAUUGUUUAAUGUAAAACAAUUCAGCAAUGGACAUUUUUUUUAUUUUUUUUUCAUAUCACUCUCUAUAAAGCACAUUAUUAACUUAAUUUUAAAUUUAUAAUCUCCGAUAUAACGAUUUCAAUUGCACUCGGUUUCUCUAUAUUUUCAUUUCAAGUUUUGGUAAAAAAUAAAAAAAAUAUCCAUUGCUGACGUUUAUUUUCGUUGGAAGAACAUUUGAAAAGAAAUGCGCUAGGCAAUGCUGAUGAGUCUCAACAAAGACGAAACAUUUUUUUUAUUAUUCCAAUGGGCAUCUACAUUGUCAGAUUUCUAACCUCAUCGUUAGUUGUGAGGUUAUCCGAUACGAUGUCUACGAUAAGAAGAACAAAUACCGAUAAAUUACAAGAUACUCGUCGAUCGUGCGAAGAAGGUGCUUCGAAAAUUCGUUUCAAGCAGAAAGAACUACAUUUUACAUAUAACAGAUAGAAAGUAAACCAUUAUCGACAAUUGUUUUAUGAAAAAUGUCUUGGACCAAUCAUUGCAAAGGGAUAACUUCAUUGAAGAAACUACUAUUGCAACGAGGACCAACAUCAUCUAGACAUAAAGGAAUAUUCCGAAAAAAAGCAUCACUUAUAUAAAUAUAUCUAAAUAUAACAAAUGGACAACAAAUCACCAUCGACAACGUAAUGAAAAGAAAAAAAAAGUUUCAGUGAAUAAAUGUUAUCAGAACUCGAUAGGAAUCUGUCGAAUCAAGCAAGAAAUACAUUAUUUGGAUAAACAAAUUUUAAUUUAACAACUGAAAAACAAAUAUAUACAAAGCGUAAAUCUACGCCAUCUAUCAAGAAAUUUCGGAAUUACAGAUUCCUUUUUACUUCUUUAAGAAAAUAAUGUAAAACAAUAUCAAAACAUCAUGAUGAAAUCAACAAAAAUUGUAAUGUCUUUCCAUCGUAUAUAAUUACUUUAUUUGUCAAAUCAACAAUAAUAAUACAUAAUCCUAAUUGUAAUAUUAAUGACAAUUUUAAAUUUAUGACGUCAUCAACAGUUGUGGGAUUAUUUGAUGCGGUUUUACAAUGCCUUUCCAAGUUUCAAACUAUGGUAAAUUCGAACACAGUUAAACAUAGAAAAUGUCAAAAAGGGUAAAUGUCGACGAAUUUUUAAAUUUUGGAAUGUCAUCGUCAAUCGCGGAAAAAUGCAUCACUGGGGUUUAUUUCCAAGAGAAACAAAUACAUUUUACAAAUUAAAGGAUUCAAAAAAUUGCAGAAAGAGAAUUGAUACAAGAACUAGAUGUUUCACUAUCCCUAAUAACGAAAUAUCCAAAUAUUCGUUUUAUUUAUUUCGGAAAUGCAAAAAAAGCUGACGUCCCAGGUAUGGGUUUAGACCAUUGAAGAGCCACUUGAGAGAGCUUCAAAAUGACGUACUACUCAAUCACCUUGAAGCGGUCGAGAAUGUGUAAAACUACCCCCAAUACUAAAAUAACCAAAUGUUUAUUUUAUUAAUUUCGGACUCGCAAAAAAAGCUGACGUCCCAGGUAACAAAUUAGGCCAUUGAAAAACCGCUUAGAAGAGGCUAGUUUAACAGCAAAAUUUAUCAUCAAUGAGUUAUCAAUAAAACGACUUCUGAUAACUUCAAGAGAAAUUACCAUAAGAAAUUUAAAUAAACCAUCAUUGCCAAUUUGGAAAGAAAAUUAUCCAAGUAAAAUAUUAUUUGGAUAAAUGGAUAUAAACACAGUUGCGACGUUAUCCAAUACGGUUCUGCAGUGCCCUUCCGAAUUUGAAUCUAUGGUAUACACAACCAUAUUCGAACACGAAGAAGAGUCGUUGAAGACGCCGAGAUGAGAACAAGAUUUUGGAAUAUCGUCGUUCAUCGCGCAAAGAAUACAUCGCGGGGAUUUAUUUUGAGAAGAAACAGAAAUAUUUCAUACAUAACAUUUGAUUAGGAUACCCAAGAAAUUACGCAAAAGCAAAACAAUACAGAUAAUAGAAAAGUGAGCAUACAGAAAAAUAUUUGAUAUGAUUCAACAACAAGGUGUUUAGUCAUAAAGAAUGAUUCCAAUUCGGAUUAGAUAGUUUUCAUCAAGUACGAGUGAAUAUACCUCGUACAACAUAAAAAUUACUGCGAGUUAGUUAUCAAAGAAACAAUUGUAGACAACUUCUAAAGAAAUUGUCAUAAGGAACUUGCCAAAAUUGCCAUCACCGAUUUGAGAUGGAUAUAUUUCUGCAAAUGAACAACAAACCAUCAUUGACCAUUGAUGAUCACUUUUAUGAAGAAUGUCUUUGACCAUUCAUCCAAAAAAAAAGCCGUUGAUAAUUUCAUCAAAAAGAUUACCGUUGUGACCCUGCAAGGACCGAUGUCAUCUAGACGAGAAGAGGUUUUCCAAGAAAUAGGAUACUCGAAUAAAAAGAUUCAAAUGUACCAAGCAAGUUUUAAAUAAACUCAUAUCGUAUAUUAUAUGUAGUGUUUCAUAUUAAAAAGUUAAUAAUUGAUGUAAUGCUUUUAUGAAAUUGAUUAAGUUAGUCAAUUAUUUUUACGGCACUAACUUUUAAUAUAUAUUGUACAACAUACAACAAUGAGAUGUUUUGUCAUGAAGAUUGGUUGGAUUUCAACUUCAAUAGUUAUUGUUAAAUGCAGAUGAAAGUGCCUCGUAAAACUUCAUACCAUUGCGGAAAUUAUCAUCAAUUAAUUAUUAACAAAACAACUGUCAACAACUUCUAAAAAGAUUAUCCUAAAGAACUUUGCACAAUUGUUAUUACAAAUCCAGUAAAUUUCUACCAUGUUUAUAUUAAAAAUUAUAGAUGACAUUGAGCACUACAACAUCAACGUUUUACAUAACUUUUUAAAAUUACUUAUACGAUUUAAAUUAUUUACAUUUUUUUUCUGUCAAAAUAUGAUUUGUAAUGGCUAUAUUUUAAAUAGAUUAUUUUUAAUUGAUUUCUUAGAAUAUUUUGGAAAAUUUAAAUUGUUUUUUUAUUUAUUGAAAUAAUAAAAAAUUUGGAAUAUUUAUACAGAUAGGAAGUAAACCAUUAUGGACAAUUGUUUUAUAAAAAAAGUCUUGAACCAAUCAUUGCAAAGGGAUAACUUCAUUGAAGAAACUACUAUUACAACGAGGACCAACAUCUAGACAUAAAGGAAUAUUCCGAAAAAAAGCAUCACUUAUAUAAAUAUAUCUAAAUAUAACAAAUGGACAACAAAUCACCAUCGACAACGUAGUGAAAAGAAAAAAAAAGUUUCAGUGAAUAAAUGUUAUCAGAACUCGAUAGGAAUCUGUCGAAUCAAGCAAGAAAUACAUUAUUUGGAUAAACAAAUUUUAAUUUAACAAUUGUGGGAUUAUUUGAUGCGGUCUUACAAUGCCCGGCCAAGUUUCAAACUAUGGUAAACGCGAACACAGUUAAACAUAGAAAAUGUCAAAAAGAGUAAAUGUCGACGAAUUUUUAAAUUUUGGCAUGUCGUCGUCAAUCGCGUGAAAAAUGCAUCACUGGGGUUUAUUUCCAAGAGAAACAAAUACAUUUUACAAAUUAAAGGAUUCAUAAAAUUGCAGAAAGAGAAUUGAUACAAGAACUAGAUGUUUCACUAUCCCUAAUAACGAAAUAACCAAAUAUUCGUUUUAUUUAUUUCGGAAAUGCAAAAAAAGCUGACGUCCCAGGUAUGGGUUUAGACCAUUGAAGAGCCAAUUGAGAGAGCUUCAAAAUGACGUACUACUCAAUCACCUUGAAGCGGUCGAGAAUGUGUAAAACUACCCCCAAUACUAAAAUAACCAAAUGUUUAUUUUAUUUAUUUCGGACUCGCAAAAAAAGCUGACGUCCCAGGUAACAAAUUAGGCCAUUGAAAAACCGCUUAGAAGAUGCUAGUUUAACAGCAAAAUUUAUCAUCAAUGACUUAUCAAUAAAACGACUUCUGAUAACUUCAAGAGAAAUUACCAUAAGAAAUUUAAAUAAACCAUCAUUGCCAAUUUGGAAAGAAAAUUAUCCAAGUAAAAUAUUAUUUGGAUAAAUGGAUAUAAACACAGUUGCGACGUUAUCCAAUACGGUUCUGCAGUGCCCUUCCGAAUUUGAAUCUAUGGUAUACACAACCAUAUUCGAACACGAAGAAGAGUCGUUGAAGACGCCGAGAUGAGAACAAGAUUUUGGAAUAUCGUCGUUCAUCGCGCAAAGAAUACAUCGCGGGGAUUUAUUUUGAGAAGAAACAGAAAUAUUUCAUACAUAACAUUUGAUUAGGAUACCCAAGAAAUUACGCAAAAGCAAAACAAUACAGAUAAUAGAAAAGUGAGCAUACAGAAAAAUAUUUGAUAUGAUUCAACAACAAGGUGUUUAGUCAUAAAGAAUGAUUCCAAUUCGGAUUAGAUAGUUUUCAUCAAGUACGAGUGAAUAUACCUCGUACAACAUAAAAAUUACUGCGAGUUAGUUAUCAAAGAAACAAUUGUAGACAACUUCUAAAGAAAUUGUCAUAAGGAACUUGCCAAAAUUGCCAUCACCGAUUUGAGAUGGAUAUAUUUCUGCAAAUGAACAACAAACCAUCAUUGACCAUUGAUGAUCACUUUUAUGAAGAAUGUCUUUGACCAUUCAUCCAAAAAAAAAGCCGUUGAUAAUUUCAUCAAAAAGAUUACCGUUGUGACCCUGCAAGGACCGAUGUCAUCUAGACGAGAAGAGGUUUUCCAAGAAAUAGGAUACUCGAAUAAAAAGAUUCAAAUGUACCAAGCAAGUUUUAAAUAAACUCAUAUCGUAUAUUA